rnacentral:tRNA from 1 species
GUCCCUGAGUGGUGCAAAUGGUUUGGCUGCUAACCAAAAGGUUGGAGGUUCAAGUCCACCCAGAGACG